GACGAACGCUGGCGGCGUGCUUAACACAUGCAAGUCGAACGGGCCCGCUCUCUUUUUUGGGGGUGGGUUGAGUGGCGAACGGGUGAGUAUCACGUGAGUAACCUGCCCCCUGCUCCUGGAUAACUGCUUGAAAGGGCGGCUAAUACGGGGUGUGCCGGCUGGUCCGCAUGGGCCUGGUCGGGAUAGUUUCAUCUUCGGGUGUUUCGGUGGGGGAUGGGCUCGCGGCCUAUCAGCUUGUUGGUGGGGUGAUGGCCCACCAAGGCGGUGACGGGUAGCCGGCCUGAGAGGGUGGGCGGCCACACUGGGACGGAGACACGGCCCAGACUCCGGCGGGAGGCAGCAGUGGGGGGUAUUGCACAAGGGGCGGAAGCCUGAUGCAGCGACGUCGCGUGAGGGAUGGAGGCCUUCGGGUGGUGAACCUCUUUCUCCGGUGGUGAAGGCCCUGUCCGUUGCGGCGGGGUUGACGGUAGCCGGGUAUGAAGCGCCGGCUAACUACGUG
rnacentral:rRNA from 1 species